CCGGCCCUCACCAGUAGUUGCAGCUGUCGAGCCUAGCCAGCUGGGCGCCCGGACGGUGCCGCUCCCCAGUCAGCAGGUCCAGGCAGCUGCAGUGACCCGGCUGCACGCAGACGGAGCCAUCGGCACUCAGCACCUGGCCUGGGAGGGCAGUAACAGCCGGGCUAGCAGCGCCAAACGCAGUGCUGGAGGACAAGGAAGGGAGGGCCCUGGGUCAGUGGAAUGCGGGGUCCAAGGGGACUGCUGUGGGAUGGAGGAGGGGCGCCUGGGAGCCACGAUGAAGUAAAGAAGGAGACUGCGGGGGGCAGAGGAGGGGAAGUGCGAUGCUCCAGUUCAUAGCUGUCUUUUCUAAACACAGUUUAUGCCGAGCUUUCACUGGAGUUUUUUCUCCAGGGGAGUGGGGAAGAGACAGCCUGCGAGGAGCUUCCCUGUACCGCGUAUCCGCCAGACGAUGGGCCCCGUGGAGAGUUGAGUGAGGAUCAACACAGAUCUCCUAAGACGGAGGGGGCCAGGGACCGGAAAGCUGGCGGGAGUGGUGGGCGUUUGGGAAGGUGCCGGAGCUCAAUGUGAGAGGCCGGGACCGGGCACCGGGUCCUGUUCCUCCCGCCUCCGUGUGGAGCCUCCCGCCCUCGGACAGGUCCAAGCAGAGCUUCUCAAAGCGCCAUCCCUUCGCCCUAGCUGUUUGCUCCAGCAUCUUUUCACUCGGGACCGCUUCCUCGCCACUGCGCAGGCGCCACUGGACCGCGCACCCCUGCAGGCGGCUGGCCUGCGUCCCCUCUCCAUGGUCCUGGACUGGCCCCAAGCCCCGACACACGCAUGCGCACUCGUGCGCGCACAGGGUCAAGGUCAGCUCACCAACGCGCCCCACGCGGGGGGGUUUCGGAUGAUCCACCAAGAGGACGGCCCUUUUCCUGUGUGUUCCUGCUGUUUCUAUCAUAAAACUUGUCAACCGAGAAACGGAUAUGAGGGACACAUGCCCAGGGCUCUGUUCUGCUCAGCCCAGCAUCUGGAUUCAACAAAUGGAAUAAUGAGAAUAGAAGACGGAUCCACCCUUCCAGUAGAACAUCAGGUUCAGAAAGAAUACACUGGUAAGGAGAUGGCAUUUUGUCACUCCCAAACUCUUUUUCACUUGCUCGCUGAAAAUGUCCCCAUUUACCUUUAAGCCCUACUUCCAGUUGGCCCUACAAACCUCCUUUCACAAUGGCCACAUGGGCCCUUUAUGACAUCACCAAGGGCCCAGCCCUUCCUGGUCCUCAGUCUCCAGGUGCCAGGGCAGACCAGUACACCAGGAGCCAUUUCCUCUUGGCUCAGGGGAGCUCCAG
rnacentral:lncRNA from 1 species